ACUCUUAAGGUUCCGAUCACAGACUGCGGAGUGGGUCAGGGGCUGCGAGGGCUGCCCCAAGUCCUACCGGGUUUGCACGGGCGCGCCCGGCUCCGCCCGCAAGUGCGCCUUCCUGACUUACUGCUGGGUGCGCGGGGCUGGGGGUGCGAGUACCACCCCUGAAGUCUCUUCCUGGGCGACCUCCGGGGCCUCAUUCUAGGCCUCCUUAAAGAGAAGGAUCUAAAUUAGGAAAAGGAAGUGCCCUUAUCCACGACCAAGCUCUUCCACCUGCGGAGCUCGCUUAGUCUGCACCUCAACCGUGCGGAAAGUGACUGCCCUGUUUACUGAGGAAAAACUGGGGCUCAGAAAGAUACCAUGGAGUAGUUUGAAACAGGAACAAAAUCUUCUGAAAGCUCGGAGCAGAAGCCUUUUUGGUCAACAUGGAGGAAAAAAGACGGCGAGCCCGAGUUCAGGGAGCCUGGGCUGCCCCUGUUAAAAGCCAGGCCAUUGCUCAGCCAGGCAAGAAUCUGUAGGGAUUUUGUGUGUGUGUGGAUAUGGACAACUCUCAUUCUCUUUUAUUUAUAUCCUUU
rnacentral:lncRNA from 10 species